GUGCCAGCCGCCGCGGUAAUACAGAGGGUGCGAGCGUUAAUCGGAAUUACUGGGCGUAAAGCGCGCGUAGGCGGCUUUGCAAGUCGGGUGUGAAAUCCCCAGGCUUAACCUGGGAACUGCAUUCGAGACUGCAUUGCUAGAGUAUGGGAGAGGGAAGUGGAAUUUCCGGUGUAGCGGUGAAAUGCGUAGAUAUCGGAAGGAACAUCAGUGGCGAAAGCGACUUCCUGGACCAAUACUGACGCUCAUGUGCGAAAGCGUGGGGAGCAAACAGGAGGAUAAACCAGUGGAUUAC
rnacentral:rRNA from 1 species